rnacentral:rRNA from 1 species
GGGGAAUAUUGCGCAAUGGGGGAAACCCUGACGCAGCGACGCCGCGUGAGCGAAGAAGGCCUUAGGGUUGUAAAGCUCUGUUGUAAGGGAAGAAAGGCAACCGGAGUAAUAUGCUGGUUGUAUGACGGUACCUUACGAGGAAGCCCCGGCUAACUACGUGCCAGCAGCCGCGGUAAGACGUAGGGGGCGAGCGUUGUCCGGAAUUACUGGGCGUAAAGAGCACGUAGGCGGAUAUUUAAGUCAGUUGUGAAAGACCGCGGCUCAACCGCGGGGUUGCAAUUGAAACUGGGUAUCUUGAGGGCAGGAGAGGUCAGUGGAAUUCCUGGUGUAGCGGUGAAAUGCGUAGAAAUCAGGAGGAACACCAGUGGCGAAGGCGGCUGACUGGACUGGCCCUGACGCUGAGGUGCGAAAGCGUGGGUAGCAAAC